UUAAGGUGAAACCGCGAAAGGCUCAUUAAAUCAGUUAUGGUUCCUUAGAUCGUACCCACAAUUACUUGGAUAACUGUGGUAAUUCUAGAGCUAAUACAUGCAAACAGAGCUCCGACCGGAGACGGAAGGAGUGCUUUUAUUAGAUCAAAACCAAUCGGUGGCGGGUUCAACGAGCCCGUUAUCGUACAACUUGGUGACUCUGAAUAACUUUACGCUGAUCGCACGGUCAUCGCACCGGCGACGCAUCUUUCAAAUGUCUGCCUUAUCAACUGUCGAUGGUAGGUUCUGCGCCUACCAUGGUCGUAACGGGUAACGGGGAAUCAGGGUUCGAUUCCGGAGAGGGAGCCUGAGAAACGGCUACCACAUCCAAGGAAGGCAGCAGGCGCGCAAAUUACCCACUCCCGGCACGGGGAGGUAGUGACGAAAAAUAACGAUACGGGACUCAUCCGAGGCCCCGUAAUCGGAAUGAGUACACUCUAAACCCUUUAACGAGGAUC
rnacentral:rRNA from 1 species